ensembl:lncRNA
CCUCCAGGUAUCUGGACACCUCAAGGGCCCCAGACUUCAGACACUUCUCCUUUGAAUAUGACAAGCAGCCCUGCAACCUGGCAGGCUGGUGUCUGAGGCAGCCCUUCCCUCUCCAGUCCCUGACACCCUGAACACAUGAAAACCAGGCUGUCCCUCUGUAGAGGAUACCUUUGGGUCUGGCUUCGAGUAGGCUGAGAGUCAGGACCAAGUGCGUGAGCCCACUCCAAUCAUGUCUCUUCUUCAAAAUCCAGUUUCUUCCAAACUCCACUUUGCUCCAAGUCUUUUCAAGAUUCCAAACAGAUGGAAUGAACCCCAGAGGCUGGUACAGCCACAUGGACCUGGUUCCCCAAGAGGAGAGGGGGCUCAGCAACCCUGCUCAGAGGAAGCUUCCUGGCUGGUGCCUGGUGCUCAGAGCCAAUGGGCUGAGGCAGCGGGAAGAAGACGGGCGACACGGUUCCUUUAUUCCCGCCCACGCCUGCUCCUAAUUCCUGGUAGUCUGGGAAAACUGGAAGAAAAGAUAAUGCCAGAAAGUUAUGGUAAAACUUAAGAUGCGGCCGAAGUCGCUUUCUUUGCCCCUGCUGCGAGUGUUUGAAUAAGAAGAAUGCUCCUGGACUGUAACAAGCAAAAAGAAUGAAGAAGACAAAAGAUUUCCAGAAAAAGGUUUAGCUAGAAGACAAGGCAAGUGAAACUGAAAGGAGAGAAAAAGCAUUUACAAUGGAACAAUAAGUGUACUAAUCGCUUUGAUAUAUUAUACAAGCCCAAAGACCCAAAACAUUGUGUAAUUAUUUA